AUGAAUCCCAUAUUCGAUAUACUGAAGAAUCUGAGUCAAAGAAAAAAGAAAGUGAAAAACCUUAAAAAUUUAGUUGCAGAAUUUGAAUCUCGCUUGAAGAAGGAAAUUAAUAAUGAUUCAGUUUCUCAAGACUUGAGAAAGGAAAUGAAACAGAAGUCAGAUGAACUGGAAAGAGUAAUGCUAGCACAAACACGACUGAUACAGCAAUUUAACCAGUCCCAGGAAGAGAACACUAUUCUUCGGGAAACAGUGCUCUGAGAGUGUGAAGAACGCUUUGAACUGACCGAGGCUUUGAGUCAAGCCAGAGAACAGAUCCUGGAGCUCAGGAAACUGAACAGAAGCUUGCCAUUGUCACCAUGUUCCCACAGCAAGGGCAGCCUAACCUCCUCUGUCACAGCAGUUGGUAAUCAUGGGGAGAGAAGCCCUGUAAGACAGAACUCUGAAAAGGGAAUCAGAAUCCCCAGCCUGCACAGAGCAUCAGACCCCAUCACUUCCCCAACCUCAGACAAGCCCAAGAGGGCCAGCGACUUGGGUGUGCCUGUACCACAUCCUCCCCAGGGCCGGGUGUCUUCAGUAAAUGAGACCAGACAGAGACUGGCUGCCAGCCUUCGGAGGAGGCUGAGUCAGCAGUGAUUGAUCCAGGGUCAGGAGCAGCUCACACAGUGUGCCCCUCUUUCACAGGGAUGCACUGCACCUGAGGGUGACAAAGAUCAAACAUGUCUAUAGAUAUAUUUAAUAAAAGACUGUGAAGAGAAAACUGUGAAGCCUAAUUUUCCAAGAAGUCUUUAAACUUGCAAUAGAUAAUGGAGUCAUGGGUAUUCUAGAGGGUUCAUUUCUACGUUAAUGUAUUAUACACGUUUCAAUGUGUUCUAUGAAUAUAUUCUUCUAGAGAUCACAGGUGACAAGAAUUUCCCUCAUAGCAUCUUUCCUUUUUUCUUUUUUGCAUGAUUACAAUCAGAACUUUGCUACCAAAAAUAGACCAGAUUGGUUUUAUUAGUGUUUGUUCAUUUGUUUGUUGAGCUAAAUAAUUAAAUAGAUGUAGUAAGCAUCUCAAUAGAAAGGAAAUCACUUUUGUCCUUAAUUAAAUAAUUUCCAAAGUGCUUAGUUCAGAUAUUCACAGGGCUCAGCAGCAGCAGCAAAACUGUCUCUCCUUCACCUUGCAAGUUAAUUGGUUAAUCUAAUUUCUCUUUAGACUAGGUAGGAAGUAAUGAUAGAAAUAUUCAGGACAGUCUUUUCUGAGAGUGUGGCCCUUCUACAAGAGAUGAUGUUUCCAAUUCAAGGAAAAGGUGGUUUACUUCUCAAAGUAUGAAGAUCACUUAGAAAACAAAGUCUGACCAUGGAAAUAUUGCCUAGUAGAAGUCCUUUAGCAAAAGGAAUGAGCUUUUGGUUACUCAGAGUGGGGGUUUUCUCCAUCUAAUAGGAGCACAUUGUUGUUUGAAAUGUGACUUGACUUAGAUCUUCCAUCCAAUGCAUCAUGCAGAUCUAUUCCCAUUUUGGAAUAAUAUUCACACAUGAGAAAUAUGAUACAUAAAACUCUGUCCUAUCUAUCUUACCUAUUGAUGAGAGAAUCCAAACCAUCUUGAGAUCCUCCCAUGAGAAAAAAAGAGUAAAGGUAUUAAGCAAAAUCAAGUUUAUCUCUAAAUCUUUCAAAGGAUUAGUCUGAUGUACCAGUAAACUUCAGAAAAUUCCAUAUGAAGUCCACUGACUUUCCUGACAAGUUUAAGAAAGGCAUCUUAGUAAGGGUUAGAUGCUCAUUUUGUUUUACAGAGACUGUUGGUUUUUGUUAUGGCCUUUAAUAAGUGAUCACAACAUUACAGGGUAGUGCUACUGGGGCAAAUCUUAGGAGGUCACCUGAGCCAUCUCUUUGCAGAUGAGGAAUAGGACCCCAGAGAGAUUGUGACUUGGCUAAGGUAACACAGCUAGUUUGUGGCAGGUUGAACCAGAACCACCUUUACUUAACCCCAGUCUUUCACCUCAGUAAAAAGUUCCCAAGCCUCCAUCAUGAUUUUGGUCAAAAGCAUCUACACUGUAGUUUAAAGUAUAUUCACUUUUUAAACUUAAAUUUGUGUAAGAAGGAAGAAUGAAUCAAGGAAAAAUAACUAUAAUGAGUUCAAUUUGCUAGUUAUAGUUUGAGAAUGCUCCUUAAAACAAAUAUUCACAUAUUAAAAUAAUACAUACACCAUACAUUUCUGCAUCCUUAUAUUAUCUUGUAUAAUUUCAGUAGAGGUCCAUUACCCUACCCCUCCUCAUCUCUGAUCUAUUUGAUGUUUAAAUUACAAGUACUUGUCACAUAAACUAGAUGGCAAAAGCUAGUGAAAGCAUAAGAGAGUACCUUGGGAAACAGUGUUUGUUAUCAGUCUUGUGAUUCCAGCCCUCCUUUCAGGAAACAAGAAGAUACUUUGGUAUUCUUCAUUUUCCCUAAAUUAUGAACAUAUUUUGAUACACAUAAGCUUUUAAAAAGUGAUAUAAAGACUAUUUUAGAAAAAUAGUUUGAAUCCUAGUUUCUCGGUUUUGUUGUAAUGCUUUUGCAUUACAAUGAGUAAUUCUGUGAAUAAUCACUCUGAAAAUAGUAUCGUGAUCUAAUGAGAGGUUGUGUUAUAGUCCACAAUAUGUCAGAGAACUAAUUCUAUGGAUAAACAGGUAAUAUUUACAUUUAUUUCAACCAACACCAUUUAAAUGGUGCAAACUAAAUGAUGUGUUUAUCAUUUUUCAGAAUUUUUUUCAAAAAAAGUAUUAGAUUAUAUAACUAGAUGUUAAGAACACAAUGAACUGUCACAAAGCAAUGUUAAGAAAGUAGUUAAUAUGGCAAAAUAACAUUCUAAAAUGCAUUUAAAGGAUAUUAAAUCAAACACUUUCAAUUUCUUUAUAAAACACUUUUUCCAUGACCUCAGUGGAAGGAUUUAGAGGUUUCAAGAGAAAAAAUGCCAUACAAAGUAUUACUUAGACAAUUAUAACUGCCUUUGUUUUUCUUCUUGAACUGGUAGGGGUGGACAAGGAAAGAAGAGAGAUCUGUAACAGAGUUUUCAACCAGUUCUUUACAGUCUCAUUGAAAAAUGCUAUAUUAUAGUUGGUCAGAACUACUUAGAAGUACAUUUCUGACAGUGGAAUGGACUGGAAAAGAC
ensembl:lincRNA